ensembl:lncRNA
GUCGAGGAAUUUAUGGCCUCUGUGAAGGUUCUGUGGGUUUGUUUAUCUGGGAACUUCACGCUGGACUCGCAGGAGGAUAAACGCCCCAGCGUCACACACCUCGCAGCGCAGAUCCAGACGGUAAUACCGGUCUGCUUGCACGAGUGAGGGAUUCGGGAGGAUUUGGUUUACACAGCAGAUGAUUUCCGUGUGGGGAAAUUGAAGGCGAGGGUGAGGGCGGGGUUUCGGACCUUGGUUGAGUUUCGUAGUUUAGGCACCUCUCGGUUACCGUGGUUACUGUGGAGCGAAGGCGGGCAAAAACGAUCCGGUUAUGAAACUCGCACUAUGCGAACGUGUUGGAGCUGGGCGAUAUGAUGUUUACCUAUACCAUGAUGGAUUAUAGCACAAUACACUUUCUGUGAUUAUCUAUCUAUCUAUCUAUCUAUCCAUCUCUCUCUAUCUAUCUGUCUCUCUAUCUUUCUAUCUAUCUCUCUCUUUCUAUCUGUCUCUCUCUCUAUCUCUCUCUCUAUCUAUCUCCAUCUAUCUAUCUCUUUAUCUAUCUCUAUCGCUCUCUCUCUAUCUAUCUCGCUCUCUAUCUAUCUAUCGCUCUAUCACCCUCUGUCUUUCUAUCUCUCUCUUUCUAUCUCUGUCUCGCUCUCUCUCUCUCUGUCUCUAUCCAUCUCUCUAUCUAUCUCCAUCUAUCUAUCUAUCUCUCUCUCUCUCUCUACCACUCUCUCUAUAUCUAUCCCUCUCUCUAUCUAUCUAUCGCUCUCACCCUAUCUGUCUUUCUAUCUAUCUAUCUCCAGCUCUAUCUAUCUAUUGCUCUCUCUCUAUCUAUCACUCUCUCUCUAUCUAUCUAUCUCUCUCUCUAUCUAUCGCUCCAUCACCCUAUCUCUCUAUCUAUCUCUAUCUAUCUCUCUCUCUAUCUAUCCCCAGCUCUCUCUAUCUAUCUAUCUCUCUCUCUCUCUCUCUAUCUAUCGCUCUAUCACCCUAUCUAUCUAUCUCUAUCUAUCUCUCUCUCUCUCUAUCUAUCCCCAGCUCUCUCUAUCUAUCUCUCUCUCUCUAUCUAUUGCUCUAUCACCCUAUCUAUCUCUCUAUCUAUCUCUCUCUCUAUUUGUCGCUCUCUCUCUCUCUCUCUCCAUCUAGCGCUCUCUGUCUAUCUCUCUCCAUCCAUUGCUCUCUCUCUCUAUUUAUCUAUCUAUCUAUCUGUCAUAUAUAUGUAAAUAUAAUCUAACACACAGUACGCACUGAGCGAUCUUGGAGUAUCAUGAUGUUUUUGUCCUAUUGUCCACCUCUAAUAUACGAACACAUCUCUCUGUGUAUGUGCAGUAACCCGUCCACUUGAUCCCUACUUAUGCUUCUCAAAAAAUGCCCCGUACGCAGUAGCAGGAGUGCAGGUGUCCAAACCCCGAGCCCCAAAAACGUCGACCUGCCAACUAAUCGUGGUCAGCUUAGUGAAAAUGUCUGUCGUGCCGAUGCGUACGAGCCCG